CCUACGGGUGGCAGCAGUCGAGAAUCAUUCACAAUGGGGGAAACCCUGAUGGUGCGACGCCGCGUGGGGGAAUGAAGGUCUUCGGAUUGUACACCCCUGUCAUGUGGGAGCAAAUUAAAAAGAUAGUACCACAAGAGGAAUAGACGGCUAACUCUGUGCCCGCAGCCGCGGUAAUACAGAGGUCUCAAGCGUUGUUCGGAAUCACUGGGCGUAAAGCGUGCGUAGGCUGUUUCGUAAGUCGUGUGUGAAAGGCGAGGGCUCAACCCGCGGACGGCACAUGAUACUGCGAGACUAGAGUAAUGGAGGGGGAACCGGAAGUCUGGGUGUAGCAGUGAAAGGCGUAGAUAUCGAGAGGAACACUCGUGGCGAAGGCGGGUUCCUGGACAUUAACUGACGCGGAGGCACGAAGGCCAGGGGAGCGAAAGGGAUUAGAUACCCCAGUAGUC
rnacentral:rRNA from 1 species